rnacentral:misc_RNA from 1 species
CACUACACUCGCUCAUUGGAACUCAGACCAUCAGGAAUACACUCUUGGCUCCCCGUGACAAUGAACAGAUUGCGUGAAAAGAGGAUGCAGGCUGGGGGAAUGCCACCAAUGGGAGGGCCACCGGGACCCCCUCAGAUGGUCCCAAUGAGCAAAGUUGAGAUCUCUAUAUCUGCCAAAGGGCUGAAGGAUAAGGACGCGUUUAGCAAGAGUGACCCCCUGUGCAUUGUUUACGUGAAGGAGAUGGGCCAGGAUCGCUUCCAAGAGGUUGGGAGGACUGAGAUGAUUAAGGACUCUCUCAAUCCACAGUGGGUUCGGAAAAUUGAGCUUGACUACAGGUUUGAAGAGAGACAGGUGCUGCGGUUUGCCAUUUAUGACUGGGACAACAAGAGCUCCAAACCAGAUGACCAGGACAAGCUAGGCACUGUGGAGUGUUCGCUUGGGGAGAUCAUGGGGCGGCAGGGUUCCCAGCUGAGCAAGACCAUUCAGGGCGGCACAGGGGUCCUCACGAUGGAGGGUGACGAGGUAUCAUCAUCUAAGGAAGUCGUCACCAUGGAACUCACAGGGACAGACCUCGACAAGAAGGAUUUCCUGGGCAAGAGCGAUCCUUUCCUUAUCUUUUACCGUUGCAAUGACAGCAGCCAGUACCUCGCAGCGCACAAGACAGAGGUGAUCAAGAAGACGCUCAACCCUGUGUGGAAACCUAUUAUUGUGCCCUCCAGGACCCUCUGCUCAGGGGACCACGGCAGGAGCAUCAAGAUCGAGUGCUAUGAUUGGGACUCGGACGGCUCACACGAUCUCAUUGGGGAGUGUUACACCAAUCUGGAGAGACUGCUGGAGGGGCCAGGGAACACCAACAUCUACCAACUCAUUAAUCCAAAGAAGAAAGCAAAGAAGUCAAGUUACAAGGACUCGGGGAAACUCCACCUCCGUAGCAUCUCAAGUCACGUGGAGCCAUCCUUCCUUGAUUACAUCCGCGGAGGGACCCAGAUCCACUUCACAGUAGCAGUGGACUUCACAGCCUCCAACGGGGAUCCACGCACCCCCACCUCACUCCACUACCGCCAGCCAGGAGUGGAUAACCAAUACUCCAUAGCUAUCAAGGCUAUCGGAGAGAUUAUUCAGGAUUAUGACUCGGACAAGAUGUUCCCGGCGCUUGGUUUUGGUGGUCGCAUUCCUCCUGAGUGGGUGGUGAGCCAUGAGUUCUUUCUGAAUGGGACUUCUGAUAAUCCUUACUGCCAGGGGGUCGCUGGUAUCCUGGAGGCUUAUUUCAACUCCCUUCAGACUGUUGGACUCUACGGACCCACAAACUUUGCCCCGGUGAUCAACCAUGUGGCACGUUUUGCUCAGGCUCACCAGGACGGCAACCACUACUUUGUGCUGCUCAUUAUCACUGAUGGCAUUAUUUGUGACAUGCCAGACACACGCAGGGCUCUGGUGGAGGCGUCAAACCUGCCCUUGUCAGUCAUCAUCGUUGGCGUGGGUAGCGUUGACUUCUCUGCCAUGGAGGAGCUGGACGGUGAUGAGAAGAGGUUGAGUUUUGGCGGGAAGUAUGCCAGCAGAGACAUUGUUCAGUUUGUAGAACUGAGGCGUCACUUGGGGCAGAGGGGCGGGCAGCACAGCCAGGCCUUGCUAGCGAAAGACGUCUUGAUGGAAAUUCCGCAGCAGCUGGUCUCAUGGAUGCGAACUCACGGGUACCAACCUCGCCCUCCCACUGUUCAGGCGCCACUUAACACUUACGGACUUGAGUAGCGUUAGUGAGGACCGUUCUUGUUUGCCCCCUUGGAGGUAAAGAGCGGAGGCAGAGGUGGUGGAAGGUCUUCAAUAAGCUAAGAAAUGCGCCGGUUCCUCAGUAACCAGCAGGAGAUGUCUCAAGCAAACCUAGCGAAGGAGGUACUGCGAGAGAUCCCUGCCCAGCUGCUCUCCUACAUGCGACACAUCCAUGCUGUCAAGUAGGAUACCACACA